rnacentral:rRNA from 1 species
AYGGAGCCUUGUCCAGGUUAGGCAGGGUUACCCGCUAAAUUUAA